rnacentral:rRNA from 1 species
CAGUAGCCGCGGUAAUACAGAGGGUGAGAGCGUUAAUCGGAUUUACUGGGCGUAAAGCGUGCGUAGGCGGCUUUUUAAGUCGGAUGUGAAAUCCCUGAGCUUAACUUAGGAAUUGCAUUCGAUACUGGGAAGCUAGAGUAUGGGAGAGGAUGGUAGAAUUCCAGGUGUAGCGGUGAAAUGCGUAGAGAUCUGGGGGAAUACCGAUGGCGAAGGCAGCCAUCUGGCCUAAUACUGACGCUGAGGUACGAAAGCAUGGGGAGCAAACAGGAUUAGAUACCCCCGUAGUCCCUGUCUCUUAUAC